UGAGUACGAGAUGCUACGGCAUCGAAGCAGUCUAUGUCAUACUUCCAAGAAAAGCUUGCACUGUCAUAAACAAAGAAUGCCUGCACCAUAACCGACACAGGUGGGUAGGUAGAGUAUACUAAGGGGCGCGAGAUAACUCUCUCUAAGGAACUCGGAAAAUGACUCCGUAACUUCGGGAGAAGGAGUGCCUUAUUUAUAAGGUUGCAAUAACAAGAUCCAAGCAACUGUUUACCAAAAACACAGGUCUCCGCGAAGUCGUAAGACGAUGUAUGGGGGCUGACGCCUGCCCAGUGCCAGAAGGUUAAAGAAGUUGGUUAGCACUCGCGAAGCUGAUAACUGAAGCCCUGGUGAACGGCGGCCGUAACAAUAACGGUCCUAAGGUAGCGAAAUUCCUUGUCGGGUAAGUUCCGACCCGCACGAAAGGCGUAAUGAUUUGGAUACUGUCUCGGAGAGGGACUCGGUGAAAUAGACUUGUCUGUGAAGAUGCGGACUACCUGCACCUGGACAGAAAGACCCUAUGAAGCUUUACUGUAACUUGAAAUUGAAAUUGGACUUUAUUUGCGCAGUAUAGGUGGGAGGCAUUGAGAAUAACCUUGCGGGGUUAGUGGAGCCAUCAGUGAGAUACCACUCUUGUAAUGUUAGAUUUCUAACUUUGUAUCAUUAUCUGGUCAAAGAACAGUUUCAGGCGGGCAGUUUGACUGGGGCGGUCGCCUCCCAAACGGUAACGGAGGCGCACAAAGGUUUCCUCUGAACGGGUAGAAAUCGUAUCUAGAGUGUAAAGGCAUAAGGAAGCUUGACUGUGAGACCUACAAGUCGAGCAGGGACGAAAGUCGGUCUUAGUGAUCUGACGGUGCUGAGUGGAAAGGCCGUCACUCAACGGAUAAAAGUUACUCUAAGGAUAACAGGCUGAUCUCCCCCAAGAGUUCACAUCGACGGGGAGGUUUGGCACCUCGAUGUCGGCUCAUCGCAUCCUGGGGCGGUAGUACGUCCCAAGGGUUGGGCUGUUCGCCCAUGAAAGCGGUACGCGAGCUGGGUUCAGAACGUCGUGAGACAGUUCGGUCCAUAUCCGGUGUAGGCGUUAGAAUAUUGAGAGGAGCCUUCUCUAGUACGAGAGGACCGAGAAGGACAUACCUCUGGUCUACCAGUUAUCGUGCCAACGGUAAACGCUGGGUAGCUAUGUGUGGAGUGGAUAACCGCUGAAAGCAUCUAAGUGGGAAGCCCACCUCAAGAUAAGUA
rnacentral:rRNA from 1 species